AUAGUUUAGUUAUAUAUUAUAGAUUUAUAGAGAGACCUUCUAAAAAUGUUAAAAUGUAUUACUAACACACGAAACCUAAAAUAGGAGUGAAUAAAUGAAGACUUGGCACACCACUUCUGAAUGGUUGCUGACCCCUUAUGUAGGCUGAUUUG